GGGCGCUUAGCUUAGCUGGUAGAGCGCAGCCUUCACACGGCUGAGGUCACUGGUUCGAGUCCAGUAGCGCCCA
rnacentral:tRNA from 1 species